rnacentral:rRNA from 1 species
UACGGAGGAUCCGAGCGUUAUCCGGAUUUAUUGGGUUUAAAGUGUGCGUAGGCGGCCAUUUAAGUCAGCGGUGAAAUUUUGCAGCUUAACUGUAACAGUGCCGUUGAUACUGUUUGGCUAGGAUUUGGUUGUAGUGUGCGGAAUGUGUGGUGUAGCGGUGAAAUGCUUAGAUAUCACACAGAACACCGAUUGCGAAGGCAGCACACUAAGUCAUUAUUGACUCUGAGGCACGAAAGUGUGGGGAUCAAACAGGAUUAGA